rnacentral:tRNA from 1 species
UGGGACCUGGCUGAAUGGUUAAAGCGCCCAACUUAUAAUUGGUGAAUUCGUAGGUUCAAUUCCUACUAUGAUAU